rnacentral:rRNA from 1 species
CCUACGGGGGGCAGCAGUAGGGGAUAUUGCACAAUGGGGGAAACCCUGAAGCAGCAACGCCGCGUGGGGGAAGAAGGUCGUAGGAGUGUAAAGUCCUGUUGGGAGAGAAGAAAAUGACGGUAGCUGAAGAAUAAGCACCGGCUAACUCCGUGCCAGCAGCCGCGGUAAUACGGAGGGGGCAAGCGUUAGACGGAAUCACUGGGCGUACAGCGUGCGCAGGCGGGCUUGGAAGCCAGGUGUGAAAGCCCGUCGCUCAACCCCAUAACUGCAUUUGAAACUCUGUGUCUAGAGUGUUGGAGGGGUAGGUGGAAUUCUUGGUGUAGCGGUCUAAUCCGUCGCUAUCAGGAG